rnacentral:rRNA from 1 species
GAGCUCGCACUCAUCGUGGCCGUCCUUGUAGCCGCGGCCACCGUGCGCUUCGUCGCCUGAGAAGACAUCCAGGAGAACCGUCACGGCCCACUUUGUCCACCUCGAGCAUCGAAUCGAGCAGAGCCGUCCCUUGCGCUCGCCAUCGAUGACAUCUUCGCCGCGUACAUCGUCGUCGUCCGUCGUCGAUUGCCGCCGCUCCGGUCCACCUCCGGCCUCCCCGGCCAUGCCCCCGAGUUCGCAAUUCCGACACUGCCGGCGACCCCCAGUUCGACUACGGUGUUGACGACCCCUCCUUCUUACCAGAGCAACCAGAUGCUGGAGUCCAGGAGUCAGGCGUCAUCAUCGACGACAAAUCCUACUACACCGAAGGUGUCUACUACUACGUGCAGGCCGCCGCCGACGACCAGGAGUAGUUUAGUAGGAUCCCAGACAGGAGGCUUGCGCAUAUUUUGAUUUGCAUUCCAGUUUGUGCUAGCCAUCUUAUGGCAACUUGUUUAACUUAUGUCUGUACUCAGAUAUUAUUGCUUCCGCUGACUCGUCUAUGAUCGAGCACUUGUAUUCGAGCUCUCAAGGCCCCUGGCUUGUAUUAUGAUGCUUGUAUGACUUAUUUAUUUUUAGAGUUGUGUUGUGAUACCUUUCCGUGAGUCCC